rnacentral:rRNA from 1 species
GAUGAACGCUAGCGGCAGGCCUAACACAUGCAAGUCGAGGGGCAGCACAGAAACAGCUAUGUUUUGGUGGCGACCGGCGGACGGGUGCGUAACGCGUAUGCAACCUACCUUUAACAGGGGGAUAACGGAGAGAAAUUUCCACUAAUACCCCAUAACAUCGAUCAAGGCAUCUUGAUUGGUUGAAAACUCCGGUGGUUAAAGAUGGACAUGCGUUGUAUUAGGUAGUUGGUGAGGUAAUGGCUCACCAAGCCGACGAUACAUAGGGGGACUGAGAGGUUAGCCCCCCACACUGGUACUGAGACACGGACCAGAAUCCUACGGGAGGCAGCAGUGAGGAAUAUUGGUCAAUGGGGGCAACCCUGAACCAGCCAUGCCGCGUGCAGGAAGACGGCUCUAUGAGUUGUAAACUGCUUUUAAACAGGGAUAAAGCACAGUAUGUAUACUGUGUUGAAGGUACUGUAAGAAUAAGGAUCGGCUAACUCCGUGCCAGCCGCCGCAGUAA